UACGAAGGUCCCAAGCGUUAUCCGGAUUUAUUGGGUUUAAAGGGUGCGUAGGCGGGCUAUUAAGUCAGUGGUGAAAGCCCCAGCUUAACUUGGGAACUGCCAUUGAUACUGAUGGUCUUGAGUACAUUUGAGGUGGGCGGAAUGUGCCAUGUAGCGGUGAAAUGCUUAGAUAUGACACAGAACACCGAUUGCGAAGGCAGCUCACUAAACUGUAACUGACGCUGAGGCACGAAAGCGUGGGGAGCAAACAGG
rnacentral:rRNA from 1 species